rnacentral:lncRNA from 1 species
UUUAUAUCCAAUGCUUACACCAUACAAUGUAUAUAUAAAAUGUGCUUCAAUAAAGCAUUUUGAAGAGAUAAAACUUCCAGCAAUCAAUCCUAUGGAAAUGCCAAUUGAUUGAUAUCCAUCAUUAUUGCAACUUCAUUCUCUUCUUCCUCUGCAAAUUAAAUUGGAACUCAUUUCAAUUCAAUAACUGGAAUGACUUCUUCUGCAAUUGUACAACUUGACUCCUCAAUUUUGUAUAUUAUAUUUGCUGCAUUGAUAUUUUGUGCUAACGAAUUUCAUUCUCUCUAUGGAGGCACUGGCAUUAGUAUAGGACUUUUUUCUAUUGGUGGUAUUUGACAUAAUGUGUACGUAAUCACAGCAUAUAUAUAAUUGGAACAAAGCAAAUAUAUGAAUUUCCCUAAUUUCCACUCAACUCCUAUCUCCCCAUGAAUACAAGUAGAUACAUAAGCUUCCUAAUUGAAUACCAUCCCCUCAAGCACCUCCUACUGCUGCAUACAAUAACCAUUUGGAUAUAUAUGUGGGAUGUCAGUACAAUCUUAACCGCCUCACUACAAAACAAAACCAUUUCAUAAAUUUUGAUGAAAUUGCCUCAGCAGUCUACUAACCUUGGCUCCUCUCAAAGGAUGAUAUACCUCCCUUGAAAAAUCUUUCUGGGCUGAAAUCGCUUCACUCAUCAACCCAUAUCGCAAUCUCUCCAAUGGAAAGAAACAACACCUUUUUCAAGAUUAUUUCAUCAAUCUCGAUAAUUUAUCCUUGUACGAUACUCGAUCCAUCCUCGAGAUCAUAAUUUGCAAUGUAUUCCUCCACUAAUGUCGCAUUGAUUCAUGGUAAGCUAUCUGAAUAGUGCAAAAAUUGAAACAACUACGUAUUAUGAAAGUCUCAUAUUCUUCUUGAUAUCUAGCACAUAUCUAACUUCAUCGGCUCCAUAUUGAUAACGAUUAUCAUAGAAGGUGGUUUUGAUGCACGUUUAGCUCUCUUAUUUUAGCCACUAUCCUCUUUGUUUGUAACUCACUUUGUACUUUCAAUCGCCAUGACGCUCUCUUUAUCAAGCUCUUAACUAGAACUACUACUCUCAAAUACACAAGAAACACAAGAAAU